rnacentral:rRNA from 1 species
UACGUAGGUGGCAAGCGUUGUCCGGAUUUACUGGGCGUAAAGAGCGCGCAGGCGGUCGGCCAAGUCGAGUGUGAAAGCCCCCGGCUCAACUGGGGAGGGUCAUUCGAUACUGGUCGACUCGAAGGCAGGAGAGGGAAGCGGAAUUCCCGGUGUAGUGGUGAAAUGCGUAGAUAUCGGGAGGAACACCAGUGGCGAAGGCGGCUUCCUGGCCUAUUCUUGACGCUGAGGCGCGAAAGCUAGGGGAGCAAACGGGG